rnacentral:tRNA from 1 species
GGGCGGUUAACUCAGCGGGAGAGUGCCACCUUCACACGGUGGAAGUCACAAGUUCAAAUCUUGUACCGCCUACCA